rnacentral:rRNA from 1 species
UCUUAAACUAGGAUUAGAUACCCUAUUAUUUAAAAUGUAAAUAAAUUGCUAAAGUAGUAAUAGUUAUGUUCUUGAAACUUAAAAAAUUUGGCGGUAUUUUAGUCUAUCUAGAGGAACCUGUUUUUUAAUCGAUAAUCCACGAUGGACCUUACUUAAAUUUGUAAUCAGUUUAUAUACCGUCGUUAUCAGAAUAUUUUAUAAGAAUAAUAAUAUUCAAUAAUUUUAAUAAAAAUUUAUAUCAGAUCAAGGUGUAGCUUAUAUUUAAGUAAUAAUGGGUUACAAUAAAUUUAUUUAUAUGAAUAAAAUUAUGAAAAAAUUUUUGAAAGUGGAUUUAGUAGUAAAAUUAUAAAGAUUAAUAAUUUGAUUUUAGCUCUAAAAUAUGUACACAUCGCCGCGUCGCUCUUAUUAUUAAGGUAAGAUAAGUCGAGACAUAGUAA